AUAAAAAUAAGGCAUGAAUGCCAUGGGGGUGUCAACAAUAAAAUCGUUUUCUGCUUUCAACUCAAAACACAAUUUUAUUUUUAUUAGACGAUGAAGCUGCAGAUGAUUAGAGCCAAUUCAAAAUUCAGGGAGAGACUGGAAGUGCUGAAAUGGUGUUCAUUGAAGAUGAUUGUAAGUCAAAGAAAGCUAGGAAAAAGAAAAAGAAGAAUCACGAUUCCUUCGAAGGUGGGAAGUUACUGGAAAAGAGAGUGGAAGCUGUUCGAGAUGAACCUUGUCAUCUCUCUUCAGUGGAUGUGGACUGCUAAAGAGAAAUAAAAAGUAUAAUUCUUGAAUUGAAACAUCGUUAUAUAGUGAUGUUCUAUCUGCAUAAAUAUUGAAUGAAGAGCAAUGCAAAUUGAAAUCGUAAGUUAUUUCUUUUUCUAGAAUUCUAGUUGUUGAAUGUUGAAUUGUUGAUGUCUUGAUGAUAUAUAUUGUGCUAUUGCCGAUUUACCGAUUAUGUUUACAAUGAGAUUGGCUGUUAAUCUAAAAGUUGAAAGCUUGAGAGUUGAAUGCUUUCCUGGGUUGGAGUGGUGUCGAAGAGUGAGGCUAUUCGAAUGGUCGAUGAGGCAGACCUUGAUUUGGAUUUUGAAUGGUGAAGAUGUAGAUAUAGAGGAAACGGUUCUUCGUACUCCAAUAUCCAAAUCCUAGAAGAACCAUUCAGAUUUGUUCUACUCAACACCACAAACAAAUAGGAACAUUCCUUCUGGUGCUGCAAUAUGUGCUAACUUGUGAAGCUUCACAACAAGCUUGGAGGUGAUGCAAAUAAGAAUAUAUUGCACAAGAUGCUUGGUAAAGUGACACAUGAAGGUUUUGUUGAAGUGAAAAGAUAUUAUAUCAGCUUUUGAUUCAUGUGUAGCUAGUUAGGAAUGCUUUUCUUCUUUUAUUGUUGGCUUGAAAUUUGGACAAUUUUGUUUGGGAAAUACUGCAUUUUGCAGUUUUAUGUACAGAAUGUUGGAUUAUGAUGGAUUGCUUGAAAGA